GGAUUAGAUACCCUGGUAGUCCACGCCGUAAACGAUGGGUACUAGGUGUCGGCAUGCGAGUGUCGGUGCCGCAGUUAACGCAAUAAGUACCCCGCCUGGGGAGUACGGUCGCAAGACUGAAACUCAAAGGAAUUGACGGGGACCCGCACAAGCAGCGGAGCAUGUGGUUUAAUUCGAAGCAACGCGAAGAACCUUACCAAAUCUUGACAUCUCCUUGACAGCUCCUUAACCGGAGUCUUCGGCCUUUGGUCGACAGGGAUGACAGGUGGUGCAUGGUUGUCGUCAGCUCGUGCUG
rnacentral:rRNA from 1 species